ACGGAGGGUGCCAGCGUUGUCCGGAAUUACUGGGCGUAAAGCGCUCGUAGGCGGUCGCGUACGGCAGUGGUGAAAGCUCCCGGCUCAACUGGGAGAUGCCCAUUGCAACGGCGUGACUUGAGGGUGGUAGAGGCAGAUGGAAUUCCUGGUGUAGCGGUGAAAUGCGUAGAUAUCAGGAGGAACACCCAUGGCGAAGGCAGUCUGCUGGGCCACACCUGACGCUGAGGAGCGAAAGCCAGGGGAGCGAACGG
rnacentral:rRNA from 1 species